CCAUGUUCUUGGUCCCCAGGUGUCCUCGCCGGUCACGAUAACCGUGUCAGCUGCUUAGGUGUGACUGAUGAUGGCAUGGCAGUGGCAACAGGAUCAUGGGACAGCUUCCUCAAGAUCUGGAACUGAAGUAGAACUCGAGGACUCCACGACUGGAAGAAGUUCCC